AUUGAACGCUGGCGGCAUGCCUUACACAUGCAAGUCGAACGGUAACAGGUCUUCGGAUGCUGACGAGUGGCGAACGGGUGAGUAAUACAUCGGAACGUGCCUAGUAGUGGGGGAUAACUACUCGAAAGAGUGGCUAAUACCGCAUGAGAUCUACGGAUGAAAGCAGGGGAUCGCAAGACCUUGUGCUACUAGAGCGGCCGAUGGCAGAUUAGGUAGUUGGUGGGAUAAAAGCUUACCAAGCCGACGAUCUGUAGCUGGUCUGAGAGGACGAUCAGCCACACUGGGACUGAGACACGGCGCAGACUCCUACGGGAGGCAGCAGUGGGGAAUUUUGGACAAUGGGCGAAAGCCUGAUCCAGCAAUGCCGCGUGCAGGAUGGAGGCCUUCGGGUUGUAAACUGCUUUUGUACGGAACGAAAAGCCCUGGGUUAAUACCCUGGGGUCAUGACGGUACCGUAAGAAUAAGCACCGGCUAACUACGUGCCAGCCGCCGCAGUAAAAC
rnacentral:rRNA from 1 species